CACGUAGGGCGCAAGCGUUGUUCGGAAUCAUUGGGCGUAAAGCGCGUGUAGGCGGUCCGGUAAGUCCGCUGUGAAAGUCGGGGGCUCAACCCUCGGAUGCCGGUGGAUACUGUCGGGCUUGAGUACGGAAGAGGCGAGUGGAAUUCCUGGUGUAGCGGUGAAAUGCGCAGAUAUCAGGAGGAACACCAAUUGCGAAGGCAGCUCGCUGGGACGUUACUGACGCUGAGACGCGAAAGCGUGGGGAGCAAACAGG
rnacentral:rRNA from 1 species